UACAGAGGUCCCAAGCGUUGUUCGGAUUCACUGGGCGUAAAGGGUGCGUAGGCGGUCGGGUAAGUCUGAUGUGAAAUCUCCAAGCCUAACUUGGAAACUGCAUUGGAUACUAUCCGGCUCGAGGAAUGGAGGGGAGACUGGAAUACUUGGUGUAGCAGUGAAAUGCGUAGAUAUCAAGUGGAACACCAGUGGCGAAGGCGAGUCUCUGGACGAUUCCUGACACUGAGGCACGAAAGCCAGGGGAGCAAACGGG
rnacentral:rRNA from 1 species